GCGCACGCUGGCGGCAGGCUUAACACCUGCAAGUCGAGCGGGCCCUUCGGGGUCAGCGGCGGACGGGUGAGUCACGCGUGGGAACGUGCCUUCUGGUCUGGAAUAACCCUGGGAAACUAGGGCUAAUACCGGAUACGCCCUUUUGGGGAAAGGUUUACUGCCGGAAGAUCGGCCCGCGUCUGAUUAGCUAGUUGGUGGGGUAACGGCCUACCAAGGCGACGAUCAGUAGCUGGUCUGAGAGGAUGAUCAGCCACACUGGGACUGAGACACGGCCCAGACUCCUACGGGAGGCAGCAGUGGGGAAUAUUGGACAAUGGGCGCAAGCCUGAUCCAGCCAUGCCGCGUGAGUGAUGAAGGCCUUAGGGUUGUAAAGCUCUUUUAUCCGGGACGAUAAUGACGGUACCGGAGGAAUAAGCCCCGGCUAACUUCGUG
rnacentral:rRNA from 1 species